rnacentral:rRNA from 1 species
UACAGAGGUCUCAAGCGUUGUUCGGAUUCAUUGGGCGUAAAGGGUGCGUAGGCGGCGCGGUAAGUCGGGUGUGAAAUCUCGGAGCUUAACUCCGAAACUGCAUUCGAUACUGCCGUGCUUGAGGACUGGAGAGGAGACUGGAAUUUACGGUGUAGCGGUGAAAUGCGUAGAUAUCAGGAGGAACACCUGUGGCGAAAGCGGCUCACUGGACCACAACUGACGCUGAGGCGCGAAAGCUAGGGGAGCAAACAGG